rnacentral:lncRNA from 1 species
CAUAUAAAUCCUUGUUUCCCAAAGCCCUAACCCUAACACCUAAGAAUACCAACAACCGCCCCCUCCUCAACCUCUCCGCCCGUGACUCGCGCCCAAACCAGCCGGAAAUCACCCCAAUAUCCCGUUCCACUUAAGACCUGGUCCCCUCGAUUGUCCCCCCAUCAUUAUAAUUCGAUUCUACGCGUUUUUCUUUCAUCUCACGAGCUUUUCACAAUUGUUUGAAGAAUCGGGCCAUUCAUGAAUGGAUGAUAGUUAAAUGGGGGCCGUAAGUUCGAAAUAUUUGGAUCCUCGGCGUCCAUUUGCCUAAAAUCCAUUGGUACGUAAGGUUUUUGGAAUUUUGGAGUUCUGUUUUUCGCAUUUGGAGAUGGAAAAAAACGAUUUCUUGGUGAGGAAGCAUAGAAGGUUCGAGACCCCCUAUAUAUUGGGGUGGUUUCUCAGAUUUUGAGGGGCCUUUUGGAGAAAAAUAAUUCGAAAAACAAAACUAGGGUACUUGGUUUUUGUGUCUUUUUUCUCAGAUUUUCUGUUUCACAUAUAAUUGAUAUUCCAGAAAAAUAGAUAUAAAAAAAUAGUUUGAGUUUCGUUUUGUUUGAACCUCUGUUUCAUUUUGAAAAAAAUUCAAAAAAUUCAAAAAAAAUACAUUCAGUUCCUUCUUCUGGUUUUGAUUUCAAUAUGGAGAUCGAUUGAUUCGAGGUUUGGAGCCGGUUCGAUUUCCUGCUUGUCGCCCGAGGUCUGGUUGGUCUUAAUCGCGGUUCGUUCGAUUCUGUUGCUGUUUCUCAUAGGAUUCCAGAAUCAAGGUGUGUAUAUUUGUUGAUUCUCUACUGUUACAUUGAAAGCAAUUUUCAUCACAGGUUCAUCUCUUUCCUUCUUAUUCUUGUUAACGAUGGUUUGCAUUCUGCUCAUGUUUCGUGUGUUUCAAUGGUUGCUUAGUAUCCAUGCUAGAUUUUAAAUGGCUUUUACAUUAAGAUUCUGAUGAGGAGCUCUGUUGAUGUAUUGUGAUUGUACUAGUUUCUUGGGUAUCAAAAGUGGCUGAAUAUUUACAUGUUAGAUUCAGAAUAUUAUGUCCGUUUGGUGAAGUAUAAGUUGAUUGACUUCCCUGUUCGAGAUCGCAAAAUGUUUCGCGCUUCACUCUUUCUGUUGAUUAAAUGAUCAUUUACUUGAAUAAGUUUAAAACAACUGAUUCUCUGCUUUUGAUCUUGUAUUGCUUGCGUGCUGGUUUAGCUGCUAGAAAAUAGGAGUAUAGUUUGUCCUUUUCAACUCCAUUGAAGGUCUCUGUUCUCACUCUUGAUUUUGGUACUGAACUUCUGAUUUCUUCGUGAUCUGAUAAUGCAUUUUUGAAUUUGGAUGUCACUGACCGCUCAUGAGUUUCUUGAAGUGUCGUUUUUUAGUUCAGUCAUAAUCAUGCAUUACUCUUCCUGAAUUCGAGAUUAUCAUAUUGUUUUUCCUCAUUGAAACACCGAAAUACAGUUUUAUUAGUGAGUCUGGUUUCGGAGAAUUGUGACAGUUUGGUGCAUAAUGGUAUAUCUUAAGGGAUUUAUCUAGUUUUAUUAAGGUUUUGAGUAGGAUAGGUUCAUUACUUUUGCUUGGAAAUUGGUAGAUUGCUGCCUUAAAUAAAAAUAAUCUAAACUAAGAGUGUUAUAAAACUAUUCCCCUCAUUUGUUUAAUGCAAAUCUGUGUUAAAUCCCUGUCAAAAUCAGCGUAAGUUGACUCUUUGAGGUCCCUUCUCAUCCUUUUAUCCUAUGUUUGCCAUGUUAUUUUGUAUAUGAUGAAUUUUCCAUGAUACCUGUCCAUAGAAGCAGUUUUGUAUCGUUGCAAUUUGGGGCUAGGAAUCUUAGACUCUCUUAGUUGCAAUUACUUUUUUUUUUUUUUGCAGAAAAUGGUGUUGAUUUUAGUGCUCGUUGGUUUAUGAUGCCUCUUCAUUUGAACUAAGCUUGAGAUUUACUUUAAGGGGAAUAAUUAAUUUCUUUUAUAGUCAGAUACUUAAAUUAGUGCAAGUCUUCUGCAUCUUUCCUUUUAAAACUAGAACUUAAGCUUUCAAUAUAUCGGUGGUGGGUUUUCUAACUUUGAGCUGAGUACGAAUUGUUAAUGUUUAUUACAGCUAUUUGGAGAAGUGAUAGUUUAUUAGUUAAAUUUUUGGUAUUGAAAACACGUUAGAAUGACAUCCUAAUAUGCUUUGGUUAAAUUUGUUCUAACCUUUUAGUGCUUUAGUCCAUUUCUCGUCCUCAUGUAGAUAAGUUAAUUUGUCUCUUAUUCACUUAGUUGGUUUUGAUUUGAAUUGAAAGAUCUUCAAGUAAUCUUGCAGUUCGGUUGUGGCGUAGUUGGCUUAAGAUUGACUUGGGAUCGGGUCUUAAAUAUUAAAAGACUACAAAAUGAAAUAUUUUGUUGCGAAUGUUUUAUUUAUUUAAUUGGCCCGCUAGUAGCAUGUUUAGGCCGACCACACUUGGGUAGGCAGGUCUUUAGGGCGUUUAUAUUAUAGUGUUGAUGAGGCGAGAGGUUGUCCCUUUAGUUGAUUAUAUUAUCCGGGCAAUGCCCCGAAGUACUAUGUAGUUGGAGGCCAUGACGAAUUUCGUGGAGGAAGUAUAGUAUAGGUUAGCGUAGAACUUUAGUUUUUAUUAUUUUUUCUUUUGUUAUGUGGGGACGGCCUGGAACCUCUUUUGGAUGUUUAUUUUUCUGUGUUUGUUUUACCUCAAACUUAAUUUUUUAAAUGCCAACUAGGUCGAGUACGCAACCAUGAACUUCACGGGACGUGGGGAGUGCCUAAUACCUUCUCCCCAAUCAAAUAAACCCCCUUACCGGAAUCUCUGGUGCAGACUUGGUAGUUGGAGUCUCAAGUGUUUUAAUAGGGAAGUUAUUUCUAAAAACCGAUGGCUUGGCACACCGAAAUCAAAUGUCAGGUGGCGACUCUGAGUUUAUUUCCUUUUGAAACACAAUUU